AGUAACGGCGAGUGAAGCGGCAACAGCUCAAAUUUGAAAUCUGGCGUCUUCGACGUCCGAGUUGUAAUUUGCAGAGGGCGCUUUGGCAUUGGCAGCGGUCCAAGUUCCUUGGAGCAGGACGUCACAGAGGGUGAGAAUCCCGUACGUGGUCGCUAGCCUUUGCCGUGUAAAGCACCUUCGGCGAGUCGAGUUGUUUGGGA
rnacentral:rRNA from 1 species